rnacentral:tRNA from 1 species
GAUUCUGUAGUGUAGUGGUUAGCACAUCUACCUAUCACGCAGAAGGUCCCCGGUUCGAGCCCGGGCGAAAUCA